rnacentral:rRNA from 1 species
AGCUAGAGUUUGAUCCUGGCUCAGAGCGAACGCUGGCGGCAGGCCUAAUACAUGCAAGUCGAACGCACCUUCGGGUGAGUGGCGGACGGGUGAGUAACGCGUGGGAACGUGCCCAAAGGUACGGAACAACUGAGGGAAACUUCAGCUAAUACCGUAUGUGCCCUUAGGGGGAAAGAUUUAUCGCCUUUGGAGCGGCCCGCGUUGGAUUAGCUAGUUGGUGGGGUAAAGGCCUACCAAGGCUACGAUCCAUAGCUGGUCUGAGAGGAUGAUCAGCCACACUGGGACUGAGACGCGGCCCAGACUCCUACGGGAGGCAGCAGUGGGGAAUAUUGGACAAUGGGGGCAACCCUGAUCCAGCAAUGCCGCGUGGGCGAUGAAGGCCUUCGGGUUGUAAAGCCCUUUUGCACGCGACGAUGAUGACGGUAGCGUGAGAAGAAGCCCCGGCUAACUUCGUGCCAGCAGCCGCGGUA